ACGUCAUCGCCGCGAGACGCCAACGGGUGUGUACCUCGCUAGUGACGUCAUGUCACCAGUAAAAUCAUAAUUUGGGCAAAACCACUCGCAAUCACUCCAUAUGAGGGCCUGCUUCAUAAAUGUAAUUUAGCCAUUAAAUCUGUCGCGAGUUCAUUGUGUCAGAUUCAGUAGCCACUCCCAAUCACUCAAUGUCAGGGACUGCCUUAUUAACAUAAUUUAUUCAGUGGGAGGUGGUAAACUCGCUAAGUGACGUCAUGUUCUCUCCACCGCCGCGCGAAUCCGCGUGACAUCACGAGAUCCCGGAAAACUGCUCGUCACUCAACUGAGAACCGAGGCCCGGCAAAUGCUGCGUGACAAGGAUUCGGAGCCGUUUCCUGUUCAAGUUGGCGUGUGACAGGAAUUCCCUCUGGCCACAUACAUUACAGUGGGUCUGAAUACACCUGGCGACCCGCAGUGAUGUCAAGUCAUUGUCGGUGGCUGCAAACACGAUGUCGAGCUCCUGGGCCAACCCCAUCCAGACUCUCCUUGUCCAUCCUAGGGUAAGCUGCCUGGGCAAGCGAGAUAAGUGCGUUGCGAAAAACGAGAGGCGUCUCGGAAUCCUCACAUCGCCGAGCUGCAUACUUAUGACGCAUGUUGGACGGCGGAUCGAAAAUCCACGCCCAUCUGCUGAAGAGCUUGAGCUAACGUCCGACGAUCCUCAGCUGGAAUGGAGUAAAAGGCACCCAGGGCGGUUAUCGUCCAAUACUAUAGGGAGUGCCCGCAGCGCUUCACUCUCCGUCCAUCCCACAAGUUCUGACGUAGCCAUGAAGCGGCGGCUAAAGGCAACCCAAUCUCCACCCGCCGCGACAAAUUAUUUAACAAAAGGAAGGCGCCGCUUCAGUUCGGGACCCUUCACGUGGGUUUUUGGCGGGACGCCCGAAAUGGCAGAAAUCCCUUCCUGCGCACCACUCAAAAUGGCGGCCUCCUGCGCGGGCUCCGUCUCCCGCGAUUCCCCGCGGUUGGGGCGCAGCGACGGCUGAGUCCUCACCCCGUGGCCCCGGCACUCUGACACGGUCGGCUGGCUCGUCCAGGCCCAUCUCCGCCACCAACACUGCCGCGGCGGACAGCAGAUCGGCCAAGCACUGACCACGCACUCGCCUGUCUGAUCAUUUCUUUGUCAGUGGGCAAACGUACAAAAUCAGCAGGGGAUCAAAUACUUUUUUCCCUCACUGCAGGAGUGUAUCUACAUGGGGAGUGGAGGCAAAUUUUUUCGUCCACUGCAUUAUGGAGCCAACAUUCAGUUGUAUUAUUGCUGACAGCGGACAUGAUUGACAAGUUAUAGCUUAACUUAUUGUAGGCCUCUGCUGGGUUGAUUGUUCCUACGUUAAGUACUUGGUGAAGAGUAUAAGCAUCAGUACUGAGCAGAUGCAGGCAGCCAGAGGCAUGGUUCUAGCAACAACACCAGCUUCUUCACCGUUCCAGUGCGUGAGAGUGUAAAGUUUUUAUUUGCUGGAAAGUAUAUUGACCAUACUCUUUGGUUCUUUCGGUAAAGUCACGUAGAAAGAAAUUUAAAUAAAUAAUAGAAUACGACGUUUUGAUUGCAACACAAGCAACCAUCACGAAU